UAAGGAAUAUUGCACAAUGGGGGAAACCCUGAUGCAGCAACGCCGCGUGGGCGAUGAAGGCCUUCGGGUCGUAAAGCCCUUUUCUGGGGGAAGAGGAAGGACAGUACCCCAGGAAUAAGUCUCGGCUAACUACGUGCCAGCAGCCGCGGUAAAACGUAGGAGGCGAGCGUUAUCCGGAUUUACUGGGCGUAAAGCGCGUGCAGGCGGCUGUGCAAGUUGGGUGUGAAAUCUCCCGGCUCAACUGGGAGGGGUCAUCCAAAACUGUGCGGCUUGAGGGCAGGAGAGGGAAGCGGAAUUCCCGGUGUAGCGGUAAUAUGCGCAGAUAUCGGGAGGAACACCAGUGGCGAAGGCGGCUUCCUGGCCUGUACCUGACGCUGAGACGCGAAAGCCAGGGGAGCGAACGGG
rnacentral:rRNA from 1 species